UACGGAGGGUGCAAGCGUUAUCCGGAUUCACUGGGUUUAAAGGGAGCGUAGGUGGGCUUGUAAGUCAGUGGUGAAAUCCCCGAGCUUAACUUGGGAACUGCCAUUGAUACUAUCAGUCUUGAAUACCGUGGAGGUCAGCGGAAUAUGUCAUGUAGCGGUGAAAUGCUUAGAUAUGACAUAGAACACCAAUUGCGAAGGCAGCUGGCUACACGAAUAUUGACACUCAGGCACGAAAGCGUGGGGAUCAAACAGG
rnacentral:rRNA from 1 species